GAACGGAUGUUUUCGGGAACGAAAGGGAAAAUGGUGUGUUGAAUUUGCAGAGACCCCUUCUCCUCUCUUUCUCUCUCAAACUCCUCACUCUUCACCGCACUCUCUCUCUCUCUCUAAAACCCAAAACGCCAUUUUCUCUGCCGCAGUCUCGUCCUUUCCGCCGUCGUCUGGCCGCCAGCACGGCCACCGUUUCGUUUCAGGUUCCGAUUUCAUCCCUUUUCCUGAGUUUUUCACUGAUCGUCGUCCGAAUGGCCUUCUCGUAGGCGACUUCAACGGGAGCGUCGUUAUCUCCUUCGUACCUCAGGCCACGCCGUCGUUUUAAGCUCCGAGGCUGAAAUCAGUGCUUCGUCAACAUCAACGGCGUCGUUUGGUUGCCGGUCCGGAACUUCAGAUUUCCGAUACCGGCUAGGGUUUCGAAAUGUCUGUUUCCAAGAAACCAAGUGAUAGAAGUGACAUGUCUCACAGAUUGAAAGAAGAAAAGGGUUUUAGCCGGUCUGAACUAGAAGACUAUGAGUAUGACUAUUACGAUCUGUUAAAGAAAGGCAGUUAUAAGGUGAAAAAUUCUGAUUCAACUUACAGAUGCCCAUUUUGUGAUGAGAAGAGGAGGCGUGAUUACCGACUAAAAGAGCUUUCACUACACGCUUCUGAUAUUGGCAGAGACAGCAGGGUUUUAAAAGAGAAAGCAAAGCACUUGGCUUUGGAGAGGUAUAUAGAUAGAUAUCUUGAUGUGAAGAGUCGGCUAGAAUCAACUCCUAAUGCCGGACGAAAAUCGCACAGGACUGAUGCAGUGGCUGGGGUGGUCUCUAGCCAACCCCAAAUCAGAGAAAAAUGUAAUCAUUCUGAGUCUCCAGCCGAAUCCCAUCUUACUGCUUGCCCGCCCCUAGCCCCCAAGCUUCCCACCCCCUAUCCCAAGGCCAAACCCACCACAGCUUCUUCAGCUGGUGUUCUCCCUACUGUACAUGACGAUGACCAAUUGUUUGUAUGGCCUUGGAUGGGUGUUGUGGCAAAUGUUAAAACCGAAUUCAAGGACGGGAGACAUGUUGGGGAAAGUGGUACCAAACUCAAAACUGAGCUGGCAAGUAAAGGUUUUAACCCUGUGAGGGUUCAUCCUUUGUGGGGUAGAAGGGGUCACUCUGGGUAUGCCAUUGUUGAGUUCGAGAAAAGCUGGGAAGGUUUCCAUGAUGCAAAGUCCUUUGAGAAGAGUUUUGAAGUUGAUCACUGUGGAAAACGGGACUAUAUUCUAGCUAGGAAUCGAAGAGAUAACUUAUAUGGAUGGGUUGCUCGGGAUGAUGAUUACAGCUCGAGUAGCAUUCUGGGUGAUCAUCUUCGUAGGAACGGAGAUCUGAAAACUGUUUCUGCUCAACAAGCAGAAGAACAGAGGAAAAAUUUAAAACUGGUUUCCGAUCUAGCUAGCACCCUGGAGACGAAGAAUUCACUAGUAGAGGAAUUGGAAAGAAAAUACCGCAAGACCGACAAUGAUCUAAACAAAUUAGCAAGCGUUUUAAAUAAAAAGGAGGAGAUGCUCAAAGCUAUCAAUGAAAAAAGAGAAAAAAUGCAAAAAGCUGCCCGUGAAGACCUGGAGAAGAUAUGCUUAGACCACAAGAAAGCCGCAUUGAAGUUGGAAGCUAAAAAGAAAGAGCUUCAGCAACGUGAGAAACAACUGCAGGAACACCGUGCACAAAAUGAUAGCGAGAGAAGGAAACUCUAUCACGAAAGGGAAAUGAAUGAGCGCGCUACCUUGGAACAAAAGACAGCUGAUGAGAAGAUGUUAUGGUUAGCAGAAGAACAGAAGAAAGAAAAGGAGAUGCUUCGCAAGAGAAUUAUUGAAUUGGAGAAGCAGCUUGAUGCCAAACAGGUACUGGAGCUUGAGAUAGAGCGAAUGAAAGGUGCUGUAAAGGUGAUGAAACACAUGGAGGAGGAUGAGGAUUUGGAAGCCAAGAAGAAGGUGGAGGAAAUUCAAAGCCAGUUAAAGGAGAAGGAGGAGGAGUAUACUGAUGUAGAGGAACUUUACAAAACACUUCUUGUUAAGGAGCGGAGGAAUAAUGAUGAAGUGCAGGAGGCUCGUAAGGAACUAAUCAAUGGACUGUGGGAUUCAACCCACCGAGCUACUAUUGGCGUGAAGAGAAUGGGAGAUCUUGAUCAGAAGCCAUUUCAAAUUGCAACCAAGGAGAAAUACUCCAAUGAAGAAGCAGAUGAGAAGGCCGUGGAGUUCUGCUCUCUGUGGGAGGAGUAUCUUAGGCAUCCAAACUGGCAUCCUUUCAAGAUUAUCACGGAUCAAGAAGGAAAGCCUAAGGAAAUUAUUGAUGAAAAUGAUGACAAAUUGAAGGAUUUGAAGAAUCAGCUGGGUGAUGAAGUAUACAAGGCAGUGACAACUGCUUUGAUGGAAUUGAAUGACUAUAAUCCCAGUGGACGCUAUAUAAUACCUGAGCUGUGGAACUUCAAAGAAGGAAGGAAGGCUUCAUUGAAGGAGGGAGUAGUAUUUAUGCUAAACAAGUGGAAACCGCUUAGGAAACGGAGAAGAUAAACAAGGCAUGCAUUUAAAACUUUACUUGCUAUGCAAAUCUAUCUUGAAUCAUACACAGCUUUCAGACUGCGAGAUAUUCGAAUUCCUUCAAGAACAUUGCUUAAUAAUUUGAUGUUGAGGUGACACAGCGGGCUUCGGUUACUGCUAAGUGUCGAUUGGCCGCUGAUAAAUCUUCUUUUGUUGCUUCAUCCAAUGUCAGAUUGCGAGACUGAACAAAUUUAAGAAUUCAUUUCAGCAUCAGAUAUAGUAAGAUUGGUGAGGACAGAUUUACCAUUCAAAUUUGUAUUAGUUUUUGGAUGUUGCAGCACAAUACUUUGCAUGUCAUAUUUGGACCACAAAAAUAGGCUUCAGGUUGGUCUUUUGUCUCAGAGCUUUUCGACAAAGGAAGUGAAAACCCCAUAGUUCUGCCAAA